rnacentral:rRNA from 1 species
AGUAAAAGUCGUAACAAGGUUUCCGUAGGUGAACCUGCGGAAGGAUCAUUAAAGAAUAGGCUUCGGCCUUUUUUUCUUAUCAACCUGUGCAUUAUUAUUUGAUUUUGGCGUGGACGAGACUUCGGUCCCUCGGUCAACGAGUGUGCCCGCCAAAGGUUUUUAAAUUUACAAAGUGUGAUGAAUGUCUUUUUACAAAAACAAAAAGAAAACUUUCAACAACGGAUCUCUUGGCUCUCGCAUCGAUGAAGAACGCAGCAAAAUGCGAUAAGUAAUGUGAAUUGCAGAUUCAGUGAAUCAUCGAAUUUUUGAACGCAGAUGGCGCCCCUUGGUAUUCCGAGGGGCAUGCCUGUUUGAGUGUCAUUUCAUUUCACUUCCGAGUGGAUUUGGGCGUGCAUGUGCUUGCCCUAAAAGAAUGUUGUGUAUUAAAUCUGACGCAGCUUUUCUGUCUUGCGACACUAUUUUUUGAUCGACCUCAAAUCAGGUAGGAGUACCCGCCGAACUUAAGCAUAUCAAUAAGCGGAGGAAAAGAAACUAACCAGGAUUCCCCUAGUAACGGCGAGUGAAGCGGGA